rnacentral:rRNA from 1 species
ACGCUCGACACCUACGAGAGGCAGCAGUGGGGAAUAUUGCACAAUGGGGGAAACCCUGAUGCAGCGACGCCGCGUGAGCGAAGAAGUAUUUCGGUAUGUAAAGCUCUAUCAGCAGGGAAGAAGAAAGACGGUACCUGACUAAGAAGCCCCGGCUAACUACGUGGCAGCAGCCGCGGUAAUCUGAGCGGGCUGGCAAGGC